rnacentral:rRNA from 1 species
UACAGAGGGUGCAAGCGUUAAUCGGAUUUACUGGGCGUAAAGCGUGUGUAGGUGGCCGCGUAAGUCGGUUGUGAAAUCCCUGGGCUUAACCUGGGAAUUGCAUCCGAUACUGCGUGGCUAGAGUUCGGUAGAGGGCAGCAGAAUUCCCGGUGUAGCGGUGAAAUGCGUAGAUAUCGGGAGGAAUACCGAUGGCGAAGGCAACUGCCUGGGCCUGAACUGACACUGUGACACGAAAGCGUGGGUAGCAAACAGG